AUUGAACGCUGGCGGCAGGCUUAACACAUGCAAGUCGAACGAGUGGCGGACGGGAGAGUAAUGCGUGGAAAUCUGGCUUAUGGAGGGGGAUAACGACGGGAAACUGUCGCUAAUACCGCGUACCGUAGGAUGAGCCCAAGGGGGCUUAGGUAGUUGGUGGGGUAAUGGCCUACCAAGACGACGAUGGCUAGCAGGUCUGAGAGGCUGACCAGCCACACCGGGAAUGAGACACGGCCCAGACGCCUACGGGAGGCAGCAGUGGGGAAUAUUGCGCAAUGGGGGCAACCUGACGCAGCCAUACCGCGUGAAUGAAGAAGGCCUUCGGGUUGUAAAGUUCUUUCGGUGACGAGGCGUUAAUCACAGAAGAAGCACCGGCUAACUCCGUGCCAGCAGCCGCGGUAAUUC
rnacentral:rRNA from 1 species